AUGGGUUUUGGUCCAAAUGGCGUAACAGCAUCUUGUUAUUUCCGCCCAAGGAUGGGACUGCGGCCGAUCAGGCUGUUGGUGGGGUAAAGGCCCACCAAACCAGUAACCGGUACGGGCUUUGAGAGAAGGAGCCCGGAGAUGGACACUGAGACAAGGGUCCAGGUCCUACGGGGCGCAGCAGGCGCGAAACCUUCGCAAUGCGCGCAAGCGCGACGAGGUUAUUCUGAGUGAUUUCCGCUGAGGAGAUCUUUUCUUAGAUCUAAAAAGUCUGGGGAAUAAGGGGAGGGCAAGUCUGGUGUCAGCCGCCGCGGUAAUACCAGCUCCUCGAGUGGUCAGGGCGUUUAUUGGGCCUAAAGCAUCCGUAGCCUGCUUAGUAGGUCUCCUGUUAAAUCCAACGGCUCAACCGUUGGUCUGCAGGAGAUACCGCUGGGCUAGGAGGCGGGAGAGGCGGACGGUACUCCGAGGGUAGGGGUAAAAUCCCUUGAUCCCCGGAAGACCACCAGUGGCGAAGGCGGUCCGCCAGAACGCGCUCGACGGUGAGGGAUGAAAGCUGGGGGAGCGAACCGGAUUAGAUACCCGGGUAGUCCCAGCUGUAAACGAUGCGAGCUAGGUGACACGACGCCUUCGGGGCAUCGUGGUGCCGCAGGGAAGCCGUUA
rnacentral:rRNA from 1 species